rnacentral:rRNA from 1 species
UACAGAGGGGGCAAGCGUUGUUCGGAAUUACUGGGCGUAAAGGGCGCGUAGGUGGCCUUCUAAGUUGAACGUGAAAUCCCUGGGCUCAACCCAGGAACUGCGUCCAAGACUGGGAGGCUUGAAUCCGGGAGAGGGAUGCGGAAUUCCAGGUGUAGCGGUGAAAUGCGUAGAUAUCGUAAGGAAGACCAGUGGCGAAGGCGGGUCUCUGGACAGUUCCUGACGCUGAGGCACGAAGGCCAGGGGAGCAAACGGG